GCACCUCGAUGUCGGCUCGUCGCAUCCUGGGGCUGGAGUAGGUCCCAAGGGUUGGGCUGUUCGCCCAUUAAAGCGGUACGCGAGCUGGGUUCAGACCGUCGUGAGACAGGUCGGUCUCUAUCCGCUGCAGGCGCAGGUGAUUUGAGAAGGGUUGCCCCUAGUACGAGAGGACCGGGGUGAACUGACCGCUGGUGUACCGGUUGUUCCGCCAGGAGCAUAGCCGGGUAGCUAAGUUGGGCAAAGAUAACCGCUGAAAGCAUCUAAGUGGGAAACUUGCUUCAAGAUGAGAUCACCCUUCCCGCAAGGGAGUAAGACCGCUGGCAGACUACCAGCUUGAUAGGCGGCCGGUGUAAGCGCAGCAAUGCGUUCAGCCAAGCCGUACUAAUGGUCGAGGGCUUAAUUGCCC
rnacentral:rRNA from 1 species